CCCCCGCGGCCCCUCCCCUGGGCGCGCGCGCGACCUGGGCGCCAUGGCGGCAGCGGUGGCGACCGUGCAGCGGCCUGAGGCUGAGACAGUCGAGGAGGCCUCAACUCUUCAGUGGCCGCUACCACCGGAGCAUCGCCCUUCCGGGGCAGCGACCGGAUCAGGCGAUGGUGAAGAAGCACCGGUGCGGCCGCUUUGCAAGCCGCGGGGCAUCUGUUCCCGUGCCUACUUCUUGGUGCUGAUGGUGUUCGUGCACCUGUACUUGGGCAACGUGCUGGCCCUGCUGCUCUUCGUGCACUACAGCAACGGAGAUGAGAGCACAGACCCCGGGCCCCAGCGCCGCGAGCAGAGCCCCCAGCCAGUGCCAACCUUGGGUCCCCUCACCCGGCUGGAGGGCAUCAAGGUGGGAUAUGAGCGGAAAGUCCAGGUGGUCGCCGGCAGGGAUCACUUCAUCCGAACCCUCAGCCUCAAGCCGUUGCUUUUUGAAAUCCCAGGCUUCCUGAGUGACGAGGAGUGUCGGCUCAUUAUCCACCUGGCACAGAUGAAAGGCUUACAGCGAAGCCAGAUCCUGCCCACGGAGGAGUACGAGGAGGCGAUGAGCGCCAUGCAGGUCAGCCAGCUGGACCUCUUCCAGCUGCUGGAUCAGAACCAUGACGGUCGCCUGCAGCUCCGAGAGGUCCUGGCCCAGACUCGCCUGGGAAAUGGACGGUGGAUGACUCCAGAGAACAUUCAGGAGAUGUACUCUGCAAUCAAGGCCGACCCCGAUGGUGAUGGGCCCGAUGUGACAGAAACCAGGUUCAUCUGACCCGAGUCCAGGUGGGGACACAUGGCCCCCCAGUGCCUGAGGCCAGGGGCUGCCGCUACCUUUGGGGCGUGCUGAGUCUGCAGGAAUUUUCCAACAUGGACCUUCGAGACUUCCACAAGUACAUGAGGAGCCAUAAGGCAGAAUCCAAUGAGCUAGUGAGGAACAGCCACCACACAUGGCUUCACCAGGGAGAGGGAGCGCAUCACGUCAUGCGUGCCAUCCGCCAGAGGGUGCUGCGCCUCACUCGCCUCUCCCCGGAGAUUGUGGAGCUCAGUGAGCCACUACAGGUUGUACGAUAUGGUGAGGGAGGUCACUACCAUGCCCACGUGGACAGCGGACCCGUGUACCCAGAGACCAUCUGCUCCCAUACCAAGCUGGUAGCCAAUGAAUCUGUACCCUUCGAGACCUCCUGUCGCUACAUGACAGUGCUGUUUUAUUUGAACAAUGUUACCGGUGGGGGCGAGACCGUCUUCCCUGUGGCAGACAACAGGACCUAUGAUGAAAUGAGUCUGAUUCAGGAUGAUGUUGAUCUCCGAGACACUCGAAGGCACUGUGACAAGGGCAACCUUCGUGUCAAGCCCCAGCAAGGAACUGCAGUCUUUUGGUACAACUACCUUCCUGAUGGGCAAGGCUGGGUGGGUGAAGUGGAUGACUACUCGUUGCAUGGGGGCUGCCUGGUCACCCGCGGCACCAAAUGGAUCGCUAACAACUGGAUUAAUGUGGACCCUAGCCGGGCUCGGCAAGCCUUGUUCCAGCAGGAGAUGGCUCGUCUGGCUCGGGAAGGUGGCACUGACUCACAGCCCGAGUGGGCCUUGGACCGGGCCUACAGUGAUGCCCGUGUGGAGCUCUGACGCAAGGCCCUGCAGCCAGUCACCCGCUGCCCAACGUCAAAGACCCUGCAGGUCCUCUGUCCUACUGCAGACUGAAGUUCUGGCUGACCUCUUGCCCUACCCCUCCCUGCCUGCAGCCGCGAUCAAAGGCGCAGUUCCUACAUUCACGUUAUUUAUUGGUGUAUAGCCUCCAUGCUGCUCCGUUAAAUAAAACUACAGGGCUUCCAGCCAGGGGCCGGCGAGCAAA